rnacentral:rRNA from 1 species
GGUAUUUUGACUAUACGAAGGUAUUGAAAUAAGGCUUUAAUUGAGUGCUAAGAGAAUGGUUAAACAAGGAUUAACUUUCUUUAUGUUUAAAAUGUAAGUUGAUUUAAAAAUGAAAAAGUUUUUAUGAGUUUUUGGGACAAGAAGACCCUAUGAAUUUUUUUUUAAAAAAAAUUUAUAAUUUUUUAUAAAAUUGAGUAAGUAUUGUUUGAAAUUAAUUGGGGUGAUUUUUAAAGUUUAUAAAUCUUUAAAGUUAGAAGGAAUUAGAACCAAAAAUUUUGGUUUUUUGAGUAAAAUACUCUAGGGAUAACAGCGUUAUUAUUUUGGAUAGUUCAUAUAGAUAAAAUAGUUUGCGACCUCGAUGUUGGAUUAAGAUACUUUUGUAAUGUAGCAGUUAUAAGGGGAAGUUUGCUCAACUUUUAAAAUCUU